AGUGAACGCUGGCGGCAUGCCUAACACAUGCAAGUCGCACGGGCAGCAUGUCAGUGGCGGACGGGUGAGUAACGCGUAGGGAAGUGUCCAGAGGUGGGGGACAACCCCGGGAAACUGGGGCUAAUACCGCAUAUGGCCUGAGGGCCAAAGCAGUGAUGCGCCUUUGGAGUUACCUGCGUCCGAUUAGCUAGUUGGUGGGGUAAAGGCCUACCGAGGCGACGAUCGGUAGCUGGUCUGAGAGGACGACCAGCCACACUGGGACUGAGACACGGCCCAGACUCCUACGGGAGGCAGCAGUGGGGAAUAUUGGACAAUGGGCGCAAGCCUGAUCCAGCAAUGCCGCGUGGGUGAAGAAGGUCUUCGGAUCGUAAAGCCCUUUCGGCGGGGACGAUGAUGACGGUACCCGCAGAAGAAGCCCCGGCUAACUUCGUGCCAGCAGCCGCCGUAAUAC
rnacentral:rRNA from 1 species